AUACAGAGGGUGCGAGCGUUGUUCGGAAUUAUUGGGCGUAAAGAGCAUGUAGGCGGUCUGUUAAGUCUGGUGUGAAAGCCCGGGGCUCAACCCCGGAAGUGCAUUGGAUACUGGCAGACUUGAGUAUGGGAGAGGAAAGCGGAAUUCCGAGUGUAGGAGUGAAAUCCGUAGAUAUUCGGAGGAACACCAGUGGCGAAGGCGGCUUUCUGGACCAAUACUGACGCUGAGAUGCGAAAGCGUGGGGAGCAAACAGGAUUAGAAACCCCAGUAGUCC
rnacentral:rRNA from 1 species